rnacentral:rRNA from 1 species
AGUCUCUUGAGAAUAAUAGGAGAUGAUUUCUGCCCGGUGAGUAUUUAAACGGCCGCAGUAUACUAACUGUGCUAAGGUAGCAUAAUCAUUUGCCUUUUAAUUGGAGGCUGGUAUGAAUGGAAUAACGUGGGAUCGGCUUUCUUAUGUUAAUAAAUUUGAAUUUUUAUUUUAGGUGAAGAUACCUAGGUGAAAUUGUUAGACGAGAAGACCCUGUUGAUCUUUAUUGAUUUUAUGGUUUUAGAUUUGAUAAAAAAAUGAUAAUGUAAAAUUAAGUUGAUUGGGGCGAUCAAGGAUAGAAAAGUAUCAUCCUUUGUUUUUGAAGAAUAAUAGUUUAUUUGAAUGAUCCAUUUUUUAUGAUUAAAAGAUUAAGUUACCACAGGGAUAACAGAGUAAUAUGUUUUGAGAGUUCAAAUCGAUAAACAUGUUUGCUACCUCGAUGUUGGAUUAAGGUUACCUAAGGGUGUAGAAGUUCUUUUGGUUAGUCUGUUCGACUAUUAAAAUCUUACAACA